rnacentral:rRNA from 1 species
UAGUUCGACUGCAGCAGACGACCCGUGAACAUGUAACCACAACGGGGUGACCGUGAUAAGGGCCUCGGUCCUUAUCCCCUAACCCUUCCCGACGUGAGUUCGUGGUGUCUUUUUUGGGGCAUCAUGGAUUCCGUUGGACCAUAACAAAACCCCGGCACGGUAUGUGCCAAGGAAAACAAAAAUGAGAAGGACACUACCUGUUUCGCCCCGUUUGCGGUGUGCGUACAGGUCGUGGCCUCCUUGGAAUCACAAACGACUCUCGGCAACGGAUAUCUCGGCUCACGCAUCGAUGAAGAACGUAGCAAAAUGCGAUACUUGGUGUGAAUUGCAGAAUCCCGUGAACCAUCGAGUUUUUGAACGCAAGUUGCGCCCGAAGCCAUCCGGCUGAGGGCACGCCUGCCUGGGCGUCACGCAUCGCGUCGCUCCCCACCAUACCUCCCCAACGGGUUGGCAUGGUGUUGGGGGCGGAUAAUGGCCUCCCGUGCUUGUGUUUCGGUUGGCCUAAAUAAGAGUUCCCUUCGGCGGACACACGACUAGUGGUGGUUGAAUAGACCCUCGUCUUUUGUUGCGUGUCGUGAGCUGUAAGGGUAGCCCUCAUCAAAGACCCCAUUGUAUCGUCUUCGGAUGAUGCUUCGACCGCGACCCCAGGUCAGGCGGGACUACCCGCUGAGUUUAAGCAUAUCAAAA